rnacentral:rRNA from 1 species
GACGUAGGGGGCGAGCGUUGUCCGGAUUUAUUGGGCGUAAAGCGUGUGUAGGCGGCUGCGCAAGUCGGUUGUGAAACCCCGGGGCUCAACUCCGGAACUGCAUCCGAUACUGCGUGGCUAGAGGUAGGUAGGGGAGAUCGGAAUUCCUGGUGUAGCGGUGAAAUGCGCAGAUAUCAGGAGGAACACCGGUGGCGAAGGCGGAUCUCUGGGCCUUACCUGACGCUCAGGCACGAAAGCUAGGGGAGCGAACAGG